AGAGUUUGAUCAUGGCUCAGAGCGAACGCUGGCGGCAGGCCUAACACAUGCAAGUCGAGCGCCCCGCAAGGGGAGCGGCAGACGGGAGAGUAACACGUGGGAACGUACCCUUUGGUUCGGAACAACCCAGGGAAACUUGGGCUAAUACCGAAUAAGCCCUUACGGGGAAAGAUUUAUCGCCGAAGGAUCGGCCCGCGUCUGAUUAGCUGGUUGGUGAGGUAACGGCUCACCAAGGCGACGAUCAGUAGCUGGUCUGAGAGGAUGAUCAGCCUCACUGGGACUGAGACACGGCCCAGACUCCUACGGGAGGCAGCAGUGGGGAAUAUUGGACAAUGGGCGCAAGCCUGAUCCAGCCAUGCCGCGUGGGUGAUGAAGGCCCUAGGGUUGUAAAGCCCUUUCGGCGGGGAAGAUAAUGACGGUACCCGCAGAAGAAGCCCCGGCUAACUUCGUGCCAGCAGCCGCGGUA
rnacentral:rRNA from 1 species